AGUCACGAUACAAGAUGUGCCAGCAGUCGCGGUAAUACAUCUGUGGCAAGCGUUGUGUUACGUUAUUCGAUGUAAAG
rnacentral:rRNA from 1 species